CGCUGGGACGGGACGUGGGAAAGUGAUCGCGCGUCACACCGGAUGUCGCCGGCCCACUGUGCCGUUUCUAGGUCGCGGCCCGCCUGGAGUGGCACCUGGGCGAGCGGGUGGGAGCAUGCGUGUCCGUGUCCCUCCGCGCCCUUUUGUGAAUGGCGACUUGGCUGUCGUGGCCACCGGUGCGGGGUCGACUGCUGUCUCCAUCCUAAGAGCGCCGAGCCGCCGCGGCAGCUCCAGGCGGCACCGUUGCCUUUGUUCUCAUCUGCUGCCGUCCCGGCGGGUCCGGCUGCGUCUUGCGGCGUCCUCACGUUCCUACGAAGGGUCGUGAAGAGACGCACAAAGUUUCCGUUCGUUUGCGCAGCGCCGGCCUGGCGGUCCAGGGAGCGGGGCUUGAGAAGUCGUGUGAGGUCCUGUGCUAUUUUCAGACCCUGGGGCAAUGCUUGAUGAUUCCUAAAAGCUCUUUUGCGGUGUGAAAGGCACCAGUGCUUUGUAUGAACCAAACGUAGUUUGAGCUCAGCUUAGGCGCUUGGUAAAUUCAGGAAGUCCUUGACAUGUUACAGACGUUUCGUUAAUGAUCACAGCUGCGUCGAGGUCGUUAUUGCGACUGGUCUCAUUAUGUAGGUGAAUCAAUCACCAAAAGGAGAGAAGAUGGCCAGAGUAAUGUCGAAGUCUGAGUCAGGGAUUCUAAUUCGGCCCUCUGACUUCAAAGCCUGUGUGUGUUUGUCACCUAAAGUUACAAAAGGAGGUCAGGCUUGAAAAGUGCAUGAUGACUGGGGUCAUAAUGUUUGUACGAACUAUCUGCAAAAUGUACAAAGCUUGAUUAUUUGUGUUAGCUAAUUGUUUAAGCGGCCAAGAAUCAUCUUUCUAGAUAAAAGAUCGUGGUCUUUCAAGUAAAUUUGCAUAGGAAAGAAUCUGUGUGCCCUCUUAAUUAAUGGAAUUAUUUGCUCAGUACUGUCUACCUAAGAUAAUGUCCCACCUAUUUGGUAGUAUAGGUUUGUUGAGGUGUACUGUCCUUGAAUGUAAACUCAACUGCCUGACCUCUUGUCCAAUGUUAGUGGGCUGCCUACUCUUUUAUUUUUAUUCCCUCUUCUUGGGGGAGUGACUUCUAGUUGCAGUUCUUGUCAGAGAACAGAAGAAUGCUGCCUGCUUUCCUGAAGACUCAUUGUGUUAAUUUCCAUCUCUGUGACAAACAACCAAGAUACCCUGUGCCGUCUCCUGGCUCUUUAUCUGACGACUGCAGGUACAGUGCACAGACUGCGGUGCAGCUGCUCCAGCGGAAGCAAUGUCCCUUGCCAGAUUCUUGACGUGCUAAGACUUUAGGAUGUGGCUCAAACGGCAGUUACUUAAACUCUGUAAGUCAGGCUUUUUAACAGUCCUGCGUACUAUUUCUUCUCUCCAUUAGAUGUUAUGUACCAUAUAAUGACCUAUUUAUCUUCCUCUUCGGACUGAUUUCCUCCAAGUGUAGGAGCCCCAGGUUCUCAGCGGAUCUGCUUCUUUGCACCUCGUCCAUCCUUCCUCUUGGAAAUCUGGGGCUGGUUAAUUGGGUGUGCAACUGCCUUCACAGGGGUGGCAGUGCUGUGGACUCAUCUGAAGGCUCAACAGGGGAAGAUUGACUCCCACACGCACCCCAGAGACUGUUGGUAGGAUUCUGGUCCUCAUGGACGGCUGGGCUGAGCGCUCCAAUUUCUCACAGGCUCUGGGGUGCAGGCCUGCUUUGGUUGAUUUGGGAGGGGCCUCUCCAUUGGGAAGUUCCAGUGUGGUCACUGAUUCUGUCACCUAGAGCAAGUAAGAGGGAAAGAAAAGGCAAGCAAGUUGGACACCAGUAGUGCUCUUUUUUUAUAGCACAGUCUUGGAAGUGACAGCCUGUCAUUUUGUCACAUUCUAUUUGUAUAAAGGCAAGGCAGUAAAUCCUUGAAGAAGAGAGAAGCUCACAAGGACACGGAUACCGCGACAGGGACCCUGGGUCACUGAGGGUCGUCUUAGACAGUGCCUGCCCUGCAGUCUGUAAUGAUUAAUAGUACGUUUCACAGGCUGGUAUGUGGACUGCCUCACACUCUCUUGUAUGAGAGAAGGAUGCAUUUUUUGUUUUUAUACAUCAGUUUAGAUUAAAAAUUAUAAAGGUUUAGUAUGUUGCUUUGCCUUGUGUCUGACACUGUGUAUAACACAGGAUUCCAGAUACUGCAGUAGAAAUAGGAGAGAGAGAGAUACUAACAAGGCAAGGGUUAGAAAUUUUAUACAUACAUUUAUUGGGAUUUUUUUUCUCAUUCCUGUCUAUCUCAAUUUUAAAACUAAAAAACGUUUUACAAAUGCUCCAUGCAUAGGCAAAAUUCAGUAAAUCUUAGUUAUAUUACUGUUAGCAUUAUUUUUAUUACUUCCCACCCGUUCGACAUGACUUACGUUUUUUCCUAUUAGAUCAAUCAACCUUGAACUGGAGAGGUUGAUUUCAGCUACUUCUACCCUAUUUUCCCAGCAAUAAGUGAUCUUUUCAGAAUUCUGUCUUUCUUUGCUUUUCUUUCCUGGGGGUGCGUGGGUAACUGGGAAUUGAACUCAGGACCUCAUGCUUGCUAGGCAGGUGCUGUGCCACUGAGCUAAGUCCCUGGCCCUCUCUUACAGAAUUCUGUAUGACAAGAUGGGGCAUUUACAAAGGUCUUUUGCUUCAUAUUCAUAGACAAUGCUCGUCUCAAGGAAAAGCAUUCAUGUAAUUAUUUGACAUGGGAGCUCAAUUAGCUCUGUUUCUCUUGUGAAAUAGAAUCCUCACUUGAAAUUAUGAUACAUGAACUAUAGUUAUUCAGACUUAAGUAGUUGGCAAACAUUUUCUUGAAAAAGAGCUAAGUGAGAUUAUCACUUCAUGGAAAACUGCUGAUGUUAUUCAUUGCCAAUGAUAAAAUGCAAUCUUUCAAGCAAAAUUUGCAGGUUUGGAAAACUUGUAUUUGCUGCCAUGAGCUUCACAGCUGUGUGAAGACUAACUUUCCCAUAGAUUCAAGUGGUGAUAUUAAUAAACAUGAUUUUAAAAUCAUUUUUAAAUAAGCAUUUGGAAGAUCUGCAUGACUUGUUGAGCUGAUAUGCUUAAAAAGAGAAAUGCAUGAGAUUAUAAAAUUAUGCAUGGGUCAAAAACUUGUUCAAAGUGAAAAGUGAGUUGUUGGAUUUUAAUGUAACAGGAUGAAAAUUUAUUGAUGUAGUUUCAGAUUAUACAUUACAAUUAAUCUUUAAAAAAUCACAAUUUGUUAUUUUGAUUUAUUGUCAAAAAUUAUGCUUUUCAAUUACCUGACAAGAUUUUAAAAUAUACUUUUCUAACAUUUUCCAACCAUGUUCAACAAAAAUAACAUUGUACAAAAUAACUUUUUGUUUCUUGAGGCAGAGUCUCAUUGUGUUUCCUAGGGUGUCUGAGAUCUCAUGGGCUCAAGUGAUCCUCUUGCCUCAGCCUCUCUCAGUAGCUGGGAGUACAGGCAUGUACCACCUUUCCAGGCUAAAAAUAGCAUAGUCUGAAUGUAAGCAUGGAUGGGAUUAUCGUGUAAUUUCUUUGUUAAAACAGACAUUAAAGAGAUUUGAAACAAA